AUGGUGUUCUCAGCUCAGGUAGCCUACCUGACCCAUCAGCAGAAGUUGCUGUGGGUUUAUAAGUGGGUGCUGUGACACCUUGAUUCAUGGUGCAUUCACAAGGACAAAGACCAGUACUUUCCUUGUUUGAUGAGAGCCCAGAAUGAAAAGGAUAUAAUCAGGACCACCCAGCUGCUGAGGGUGACAGAGGAAGAAUUCUGGCACUGUCAGCCUCCACAGCCAUGAAUCUUCCAUGGCUGUCUGGAGGGUACCUCCAAUGAGAGAUAUAAGUGCUACAAGGUUCCAGAGUGGUUCUUAGAUGAUUGGCUUCCUUCUGAGAAGGCAAUGUAUCCUGACUACUGUGCCAAGAGAGAGCAGUGGAAGUAACUGUGGAGAGAAAGCUGGGAGUGAGAAGUUAAGCAGCUGCAAGAGGAAAUCCCACCUGGUGGUCCUAAGAUUAAGCUCUGCUCCCUUCAGGAAAGGAAAGCAAUUUACUCCCACUGCAGUUGUGUAUUGUGACCA
rnacentral:lncRNA from 1 species